UGGGGAAUUGUUCGCAAUGGGCGCAAGCCUGACGACGCAAUGCCGCGUGAAGGAUGAAGUAUUUCGGUAUGUAAACUUCGAAAGAAUAGGAAGAAUAAAUGACGGUACUAUUUAUAAGGUCCGGCUAACUACGUGCCAGCAGCCGCGGUAAUACGUAGGGACCAAGCGUUGUUCGGAUUUACUGGGCGUAAAGGGCGCGUAGGCGGCAUGACAAGUCACUUGUGAAAUCUCUGGGCUUAACCCAGAACGGCCAAGUGAUACUGUCGCGCUAGAGUGCAGAAGGGGCAAUCGGAAUUCUUGGUGUAGCGGUGAAAUGCGUAGAUAUCAAGAGGAACACCUGAGGUGAAGACGGGUUGCUGGGCUGACACUGACGCUGAGGCGCGAAAGCCAGGGGAGCAAACGGGAUUAGAUACCCAAGUAGUCCCUGAGCGGGCUGGCAAGGCGCAU
rnacentral:rRNA from 1 species